CUUUGCAAGCAUAUAAAUGACAUUCCACUCCCGAAGCUUAAGGAGCUGAAAUAAAUUUGCUAAGCGCCCAAUAAUUAAUGUAACAAUAUUAUUACUAAAAUCUAUUUCAGAGGCUACAUACCUAUCGCAUUAAGCAAUAGCUGGUUUUUCCCCUGACCAGUCUAAGCUGACUAACUGUAUUCCAAAAAAUAACCCCCCCACAGUUCCCCACCCUGACCUAGGACAAGCUAGCUCAACAGCCCUUAUUACAUCCAAAAAUAAAAUGAAAGUAGGCCCAGAACCAGCCACCUCAAACCGCGUUAUAGCUCCCACCCCCUAAAAAUCCCAAACAAAUAUCCCCAAAGAAAAAAUAUCUCCAACACUCAAGAUUUCCUCCUCUGCAAAGACCAGUACCCCACCCCCCUCAACAACAUUCACCCCCCCAUAUAUGGAAAAGGAACUCGGCAAAUAAGAGCCCCGCCUGUUUAACAAAAACAUCGCCUAUACGACCCCACCCCAUUAUAGGUCCCUCCUGCCCAGUGACAAGAUUCAACGGCCGCGGUACCCUGACCGUGCAAAGGUAGCAUAAUCACUCGCCUCCUAAUUAGAGGCUAGCAUGAAAGGAUAGACGAGGGCCCACCUGUCUCCUCCAUACACCCGAAAACUUAUCUUUAGGUAAAGAAGCCUAAAUAAACCUAAAAGACAAGAAGACCCUGUCGAGCUUCAGCCUUCACUGCCCAAAAUAAAGUAUUCCACAUCCAUCAACCAGCAACUCCGCUUUUGUUGGGGCGACAAAGGGCCAAACAAAACGCCCUAAACUACAUAGGCUAUAAGCCACUCCCCUGAUCCACUCACAAUGAUAACUAGCACCAGCUACCGCAGGGAUAACAGACUAAUCCCCUUUAAGAGCCCAAAUCUACAAGGGGGCUUGGCACCUCGAUGUUGGCUUAAGAUCCUCUUUCAAGUGCAGCAGCCUGAAAAGAAGGUUUGUUCAACCUUUAAUAUCUUACAUGAG
rnacentral:rRNA from 1 species